rnacentral:rRNA from 1 species
UGUAAGCGUAUACCAAAGUUGUUGCAGUUAAAACGCUCGUAGUCGGACUUUGGCAGUUCCGGAUGUGUGCACGUCGUGUGCGCACUUCGCGGGGAUUGCUUUUGUGGUCUUGCGUAGGAUGAGGCACUUUUAUUAGUGAACGUCCUCACGCAACCACUUUUUACUGUGAGAAAAUCAGAGUGCUCAAAGCUGGCAUUUGCCGUGAAUGUAUUAGCAUGGAAUAAUAGAAUAGGACUUGGUUCUAUUUUGUUGGUUUGUUGGGACUGAGUAAUGAUUAAGAGGGACAGUUGGGGGCAUUUGUAUUUCGGUGCUAGAGGUGAAAUUCUUAGAUUACCGAAAGACAAACUGCUGCGAAAGCGUCUGCCAAGGAUGUUUUCAUUGA